rnacentral:tRNA from 1 species
GGGCCUGUAGCUUAGCCCGGUUAAAGCGUCCGGCUCAUAACCGGAUGAUCGUGGGUUCAAAUCCCCCCAGGCCCA